UUGCUUUUCUGAAUCUAGUGGCGAACGGGUGAGUAACACGUGAGCAACCUGCCUUUCAGAGGGGGAUAACGGCUGGAAACGGUCGCUAAUACCGCAUGACGUGUUCGGAUGGCAUCAUCUGAACAUCAAAGAUUUAUCGCUGAAAGAUGGGCUCGCGUCUGAUUAGAUAGUUGGUGGGGUAAUGGCCUACCAAGUCGACGAUCAGUAGCCGACCUGAGAGGGUGACCGGCCACAUUGGGACUGAGACACGGCCCAGACUCC
rnacentral:rRNA from 1 species